rnacentral:lncRNA from 1 species
CUUGUUUGAUGCUAUAGUUUCCAUGUUAAUUUCAGGCACAUAAGAGCUGCUGGACAGCAACGAAUCCUUAAGAACACGGGACCAAAAUCGUGGAUUCUACUCCAUAAGAUCCCAAGUUCAGGAUUCACGCUGCCCUAGGGCUAUAGAAGCACUUGCUUAAGGCUCGGACACCUACAUGGGACGCUCAUCAAAUCGAUUUUAAUCAAUAAAAUCGAUAGGUGGGUCUGACCAAGUUAGACCAAACCUAGUGGGUUCCAACG